UUCCUGAGUUUCAUAUCAGACUGAGGUGGCAAUAAGCAACUGCUUGAAAGAAAUGCCAUCAGUGUGGCAUAUUCCAUAUACAGAGUUCUUAAAGUUUAAAA